UCCCUGGUUGUCCAGUGGUUAGGACUCAGCACUUUCACUACUGUGACCCAGGUUCAAUCCCUGGGCUAGGAA
rnacentral:tRNA from 1 species